AUGGAUUAGCAACUAGCCCAAUCUCAAAGCUUGCCUCAGACGAAGGAUUCAACACCAAUAGUCACACUCGUUCGGAGCUUUGGCAAUUUUAGAGCCCUGUAAAAGCCUUUUAUUCAUCAAUAGAGAGCCAUUGGGUGUUUCCCAAUAUGCCUUACAAGUUUGCCAUUGAAAGUUCUGUCUACGUUAAUGCAACAGCUUAAACAUAAUAAUUCUAAGUUAGAAACACAGACAACUAACUGGCUAGAACGUGCUAUCAUAUCCUAGUGGAAAUGGAAGGACCGUAAAUUAUAGUGAUAGAAUCUAGCACACUUUUUGCAGUUUCAACAGGAUUUGCAUUUUUAAAAUGUGUUUCAAUGUUGCAAAAACCGGUUUGUUGUGCAGCCUGGUGGACAGGCCUUCAUACUGUGCAAAGGAGCCAUUCGGAUUGCUGUACAGUCUUCUGUUCUUUACAUGCACCAUAAUUCGUGCUUGAUAUUACAAUCUAUAUUAUUAGGCAUCCCCACUUUAUUCUAUGCUUUUUAUAAGGCAAAAGGAGUGAUUGCUGAGAGGCGGCUUUGCCAUCACUGUGACUAAGGGAACUGGCAACCUGUGUCAAGCCGUGGUGCUUAUGCGCAGUGCGUAUACAUGCUGAGUGCACAAACACGAACCACAGCAACAGGGGCUUUAUAAGCACAAUGUUGCUUUCUUAUAGAUAAGGCCUUGCUCGUUUGCUGGCGUAUUAUUGCUAUUGUGCUAAACUACCACUGUUUACAAUGUGUUGUGUGUAUGACUGAAUUGGUGCGUAAAAUUGUGAUAAAAAUUUCGAGCCAUUCCAUUUUGUGAAGGCAGGUUACCAGUGAAGCUGUCUAGCACAUAACACACAAAUAUGAACAAAUGUAUGAACUCGUUUCUUGUUAUGAUUGGUGGUAAAUGUGAUGAAAGGUACACACACACACAUUUGUUGUCUUGAUCGGUGGCUCAUUAUUUUUUGGUCAUGGUGAUGACGAUGGCCUUAUUGUUGCUAUGAUGCGCAAUGAUCAGCUUGGUUACAACCUUGCACAUGUUCUUAGCCAGAGUCUCAUCUAUGCCUGUCUGGUGGUGAGGUUUGUACAAAUUGUGUCGCACAGGAAGCCAAAGCAUUCUAACACAAAUUGCAUAACUACGGUGGUUUGUUUUUGUGUUUUAUAUUUUUUCAAAUUAGAGGGUAAAAAUUGGGUGCUAUUUUUCAAGCUGGUAAUUUGAGAGAAAUCACAUUUUUCGUGGAACCAUCAUUGAACUGCAUGUUUUUGGGGGGGUUUAGUUUAGAAAUGCUACAUGAAAUACAUUUACACAAAUUGAUAAGUCAAAAGGACAGUAAAGAGCCUUGAUAACAUCUAGGAAAAGACACAUUUAAUUCACAAAAAGCUGAUCACCGAUUUUUUACGCGUCCUUGUUAACGUACAUUGCCAUUUGCAUGUGCAGCAUGUUGGUCUUCAUUCGAGAGCUGUCUCACCUUUGGAUGUACAGAGGCAUCCACUUCCACCUUGAGCACCGCACCGUGCAGCCAACGCUCCGCGGAGCGUCUCUCGCGGGCGGCUGGGGCACGCAAGCGCAGUGACAACUGUAGGUGGUGCCUUCGCCGCGUCGUCUGCUAAAGCGCAGCGGCUCCGCCCAAUCGCGCUUGCUCUUCGAUGAAGCAUCGGUUUCUCAAUUCCUCGAAAGAGCCACGACGUGCGCUCUUAGCAAUUGAUGGGUACCAUGUGCACAGAGGCCAAGGGAUCGAUCAGCUGGCCAAAAUCGUCAGUUCUCUUGCCCGUGACUUCGGACCUGGAGUGAAGUCACAUGGACACAGCGAGCUGGGUAUCUGCUACAGGCUGCUGAAGUGCAGCCACUGCAACACAAAAGGCCACGAAGUCCUGCGAGUGCAGCAAAUUCCUUCGCCUACCUUCCCAACAUGAACCAAGACUGCUUUAGAUCAUCUUAAUGUGUAAAGCAGCACACAAAAACAAGACAUGAAAGGAGGAAUACAAUUGAACAGGCCAACCA